rnacentral:rRNA from 1 species
UACGUAGGGUGCAAGCGUUAAUCGGAAUUACUGGGCGUAAAGCGCGCGUAGGUGGUUUGUUAAGUUGAAUGUGAAAUCCCCGGGCUCAACCUGGGAACUGCAUGCAAAACUGGCAAGCUAGAGUAUGGUAGAGGGUGGUGGAAUUUCCUGUGUAGCGGUGAAAUGCGUAGAGAUCGGAAAGAACACCAACGGCGAAAGCACUCUGCUGGGCCGACACUGACACUGAGAGACGAAAGCUAGGGGAGCGAAUGGG